rnacentral:rRNA from 1 species
GAUGAACGCUGGCGGCGUGCUUAACACAUGCAAGUCGAACGAAGCACUUUUGAUUGAUUUCCUCGGAAAGAUUUCACUUGUGACUGAGUGGCGGACGGGUGAGUAACGCGUGGGUAACCUGCCUCAUACAGGGGGAUAACAGUUAGAAAUGACUGCUAAUACCGCAUAAGCGCACGGUAUCGCAUGAUACAGUGUGAAAAACUCCGGUGGUAUGAGAUGGACCCGCGUCUGAUUAGCUAGUUGGUGAGGUAACGGCCCACCAAGGCGACGAUCAGUAGCCGACCUGGGAGGGUGACCGGCCACAUUGGGACUGAGACACGGCCCAAACUCCUACGGGAGGCAGCAGUGGGGAAUAUUGCACAAUGGGCGAAAGCCUGAUGCAGCGACGCCGCGUGAACGAAGAAGUAUUUCGGUAUGUAAAGUUCUAUCAGCAGGGAAGAUAAUGACGGUACCUGACUAAGAAGCACCGGCUAAAUACGUGCCAGCAGCCGCCGUAACAC